rnacentral:misc_RNA from 1 species
GAUGAAGAACGUAGCGAAAUGCGAUAAGUAAUGUGAAUUGCAGAAUUCAGUGAAUCAUCGAAUCUUUGAACGCACAUUGCGCCCCCUGGUAUUCCGGGGGGCAUGCCUGUCCGAGCGUCAUUACAACCCUCAAGCUCAGCUUGGUGUUGGGCCCCGCCGCCCCGGCGGGCCCUAAAGUCAGUGGCGGUGCCGUCCGGCUCCGAGCGUAGUAAUUCUUCUCGCUCUGGAGGUCCGGUCGUGUGCUUGCCAGCAACCCCCAAUUUUUUUCAGGUUGACCUCGGAUCAGGUAGGGAUAUCCGCUGAACUUAAGCAUAUCAAUAAGCGGAGGA